ACUCUGCCUCUCUCUCCCCCUCCCUCUUCCUCUCCUUUUCCCCUUGCCUUUCCUCCCCCUUCCUCUCCCCCUUCCUCUCUCCCUUCCCUUCCAUGAGACCCUCCCCAACCCAUCUCUGCAUCUCCCAGCUCCUCCCACUCCUGCUCCUCCCUCGCCCUGCCCCCCUCCACCUAUCCCAACUCCACUCAUCCGCAGCCCAAACACUGAUCUGUUUUAGUUUGCAUUUUCUAGAGUCGUCCAUAAAUGGAAUCAUCCCAUAUGUACUUGAUUUUGUCUGGCUUCUUUCACUCAACAUAGUUACUUUGACAUGCCUGCGUGUUUUUGCAUGGAACAAUCAUUCAUUGCUUCCUGAGCAGUAUUCCAUUUAUGGAUAUACCACCGUGUGUUUAGUCAGCACUUGAUUUAGCCUGCUUUCAAUUUUUCCUGAUUAGAACUACAGCUGCUAGGAACAUCCCUGUGCAAAUCUUUGUACAGACAUAUACGGUUUUUCCUCUCUGGGGUAAAUACCUGGAAGUGGAAUGCCCAGGUCGUAAGCUCCCUUGUAGUUGGUGGCAAUCAUAUGAUGCUGUUAUGGGCAAUGAUAGGAGCAGACAUCACUGGGAGCUACCAGGAAAACUAGUUAAAGAGGAGCUGGCUCAGCACUGGACUUUUGCUCUGUCUUUUGUUUCUGCUUGGAAAUUAGUCAUGAUGGCUGGAGCACUGGCAAUCUUCUGGUAUACAUGAAGAUGAGACCCACAUCUUGAUUUUAAAGAAGUAGAAGACAUGAAGGAGCCCAGGAUUCUGAAGACAGUGUGGAGUCAAUAUGCUAGUCUUGGAUUGCCUGCCUUCAGAUUUCCAAUUACAUGAGAGACCAAUAAAUCUAUAUUUUGUUUAAAUCACUGUUACUGGGAUUUUCUGUUUCAUGAAGUUGACACAGUGUAUAUCUGAUGUCCUGAAUUUGAUUGUGAGAAUCU
rnacentral:lncRNA from 1 species